UACGUAGGGGCUAGCGUUAUCCGGAAUUACUGGGCGUAAAGGGUGCGUAGGCGGUCUUUCAAGCCAGAAGUGAAAGGCUACGGCUCAACCGUAGUAAGCUUUUGGAACUGUAAGACUUGAGUGCAGGAGAGGAGAGUGGAAUUCCUAGUGUAGCGGUGAAAUGCGUAGAUAUUGGGAAGAACACCGGUGGCGAAGGCGACUUGCUGGGCAGCAACUGACGCUGAGGCGCGAAAGCGUGGGGAGCAAACAGGAUUAGAUACCCCCGGUAGUCCCUGA
rnacentral:rRNA from 1 species